UACGUAGGGGACUAGCGUUGUCCGGAAUUAUUGGGCGUAAAGAGCUCGUAGGCGGUUCGGCAAGUCGGAUGUGAAAUCUCCACGCUUAACGUGGAGGGGCCAUUCGAAACUGCUGUGACUCGAGUCCGGUAGGGGAGUGUGGAAUUCCCGGUGUAGCGGUGAAAUUCGUAGAUAUCAAGCGGAACACCGGUGGCGAAGGCGGCCUUCUGGACGAUGACUGACGCUGAGACGCGAAAGCGUGGGGAGCAAACAGG
rnacentral:rRNA from 1 species